rnacentral:rRNA from 1 species
GGCGGCGUGCAUAAAACAUGCAAGUCGAACGGACUUCAGUCCGCAAGGAUUGAAGUGAGUGGCGAACGGCUGAGUAACACGUAGGUGACCUGCCCCGAAGUUUGGGAUAACAACUCGAAAGAGUUGCUAAUACCGGAUGUGACCACCGAUUCAUUUCGGUGCUUAAAGUCGCAAGACGCUUUGGGAGGGGCUUGCGGCGGAUUAGCUAGUUGGUGUGGUAACGGCACACCAAGGCUUCGAUCCGUAGCUGGUCUGAGAGGAUGGCCAGCCACACUGGGACUGAGACACGGCCCAGACUCCUACGGGAGGCAGCAGUUAGGAAUUUUGCGCAAUGGAGGAAACUCUGACGCAGCCACGCCGCGUGGGGGAUGAAGGCCUUCGGGUCGUAAACCUCUUUUCUCAGGGAAGACACCCGACGGUACCUGAGGAAUAAGCAACGGCUAACUACGUGCCA